GUUCCUGAGCUCCACAGCAGUGGUUCUGUUAAUAGAACAAGAUACUAAAGGUUCCUGAGCUCCACAGCAGUGGUUCUGUUAAUAGAACAAGAUACUAAAGGUUCCUUAGCUCCACAGCUGUUGUUCUGUUAAUAGAACAAGAUACUAAAGGUUCCUUAGCUCCACAGCAGUGGUUCUGUUAAUAGAACAAGAUACUAAAGGUUUAACUAAAGGUUCCUGAGCUCCACAGCAG